CAAAAACUUUCUCAUUCGUUAGGUUUAGGUUAGGUUUAGGUUAGGUUUAGGUUAGGUUUAGGUUAGGUUUAGGUUAGGUUUAGGUUAGGUUUAGGUUAGGUUUAGGUUAGGUUUAGGUUAGGUUUAGGUUAGGUUUAGGUUAGGUUUAGGUUAGGUUUAGGUUAGGUUUAGGUUAGGUUUAGGUUAGGUUUAGGUUAGGUUUAGGUUAGGUUUAGGUUAGGUUUAGGUUAGGUUUAGGUUAGGUUUAGGUUAGGUUUAGGUUAGGUUUAGGUUAGGUUUAGGUUAGGUUUUUUUUUUUUUUUAAAUAAACAAACAAUCCGCAGACAUGUCGUCCGCGCCCUUUUUCAUGCAUUUAUUAGAAUUAUAAUUGCGUUGGUUACAAUAUUAUUGUGUUCGGCUCUUUUUCUUAGAAUUAAACUUAUUAAUCUACGUAAGUCCAUCUUUUUUUUUUUUUUUUUUUUUUUUUUUUUUUUUUUUUAAA